rnacentral:tRNA from 1 species
GGUAGUAUAGCUCAGUGGUGGAGCAUUUGCCUAGCAUGUACAAGACCCUGGGUUCAAUCCUUAGUACCA